GCAGACACAUCAUUCCACCUUGGCAAAGAUACACUCUGUCACCCACAUAUGACAUUUGAUUGCUUCCCGGAUCUAUGGACUUGAAUGUGUGCUGGCACUUCCUCAGUCUGCCACGAAUGUUAAAGAAUAACAGAUGUAACCCUGCAAACCUUCAACCAAUUCAGCAAGUUCACUGUGAACAUGUCUCAGUGGAAUCAAGUCCAACAAUUAGAAAUCAAAUUUUUGGAGCAAGUAGAUCAAUUCUACGAUGACAACUUUCCUAUGGAAAUUCGACAUCUGUUGGCUCAGUGGAUUGAAAAUCAAGACUGGGAGGCGGCUUCCAAUAAUGAAACCAUGGCAACAAUUCUUCUUCAAAACUUGUUAAUACAGCUGGAUGAACAGUUAGGUCGUGUUUCCAAAGAGAAAAACCUGCUCUUGAUACACAAUCUAAAAAGAAUCAGGAAAGUCCUUCAGGGAAAAUUUCAUGGAAAUCCAAUGCACGUAGCUGUGGUUAUUUCGAAUUGUUUAAGGGAAGAGAGGAGAAUAUUGGCUGCAGCCAACAUGCCCAUUCAGGGACCUCUGGAGAAAUCCUUACAAAGUUCUUCAGUUUCAGAAAGGCAGAGGAAUGUGGAGCACAAAGUGGCUGCCAUUAAAAAUAGUGUGCAGAUGACAGAACAAGACACCAAAUAUUUAGAAGAUCUUCAAGAUGAAUUUGACUACAGGUAUAAAACAAUUCAGACAAUGGAUCAGGGGGACAAGAACAAUGCCCUAAUGAAUCAGGAAGUUUUGACUCUGCAAGAAAUGCUUAACAGUCUCGACUUCAAGAGAAAGGAAGCCCUCAGUAAGAUAACCCAAAUAGUAAACGAAACGGACUUGUUAAUGAACAGCAUGCUGAUGGAAGAGCUGCAGGACUGGAAGAGGAGACAGCAGAUCGCCUGCAUUGGCGGGCCGCUCCACAAUGGGCUCGACCAGCUUCAAAACUGCUUUACACUGUUGGCAGAAAGUCUGUUUCAACUCAGAAGGCAAUUGGAGAAAUUAGAGGAACAGUCUACUAAAAUGACAUAUGAAGGAGACCCCAUCCCCAUGCAAAGAGCACAUCUGCUAGAAAGAGUCACCUUCUUGAUCUACAACCUUUUUAAGAACUCAUUUGUGGUUGAACGACAGCCAUGCAUGCCAACCCAUCCCCAGAGACCGAUGGUACUUAAAACUCUUAUUCAGUUCACUGUAAAGCUAAGACUACUAAUAAAAUUGCCAGAACUAAACUAUCAGGUAAAGGUGAAAGCAUCAAUUGACAAGAACGUUUCAACUCUAAGCAAUCGAAGAUUUGUCCUUUGUGGAACUCAUGUCAAAGCCAUGUCCAUUGAAGAAUCUUCUAACGGGAGUCUCUCGGUAGAAUUUCGACAUUUGCAACCAAAGGAAAUGAAGUCCAGUGCUGGAGGCAAAGGAAAUGAGGGCUGUCACAUGGUAACUGAAGAGCUUCAUUCUAUAACCUUUGAAACACAGAUCUGCCUCUAUCGCCUGACCAUAGAUUUGGAGACCAGCUCAUUACCUGUGGUGAUGAUUUCCAAUGUCAGUCAGUUACCUAAUGCUUGGGCAUCCAUCAUUUGGUACAAUGUGUCAACCAAUGAUUCCCAGAACUUAGUUUUCUUUAAUAAUCCUCCAUCUGCCACUUUGAGUCAACUCCUGGAAGUGAUGAGCUGGCAGUUUUCAUCCUAUGUCGGCCGUGGCCUAAACUCAGAUCAACUCAAUAUGUUAGCAGAGAAGCUUACAGUCCAGUCUAGCUACAACGAUGGUCAUCUCACCUGGGCCAAGUUCUGCAAGGAACACUUACCUGGUAAAUCAUUUACCUUUUGGACAUGGCUUGAAGCAAUAUUGGAUCUAAUUAAGAAACACAUUCUUCCUCUUUGGAUAGAUGGGUAUGUCAUGGGCUUUGUUAGCAAAGAGAAGGAGCGCCUCUUGCUAAAGGAUAAGAUGCCUGGAACCUUUUUGUUAAGAUUCAGUGAAAGCCACCUUGGAGGAAUAACUUUCACCUGGGUAGACCAUUCUGAAAAUGGAGAAGUGCGAUUCCACUCUGUAGAACCCUACAAUAAAGGCCGAUUGUCUGCUCUACCGUUCGCCGACAUCCUUCGAGACUACAAGGUUAUUAUGGCUGAAAACAUUCCCGAAAACCCUCUGAAGUACCUUUAUCCUGACAUUCCCAAAGACAAAGCCUUCAGUAAACACUACAGCUCCCAACCCUGUGAAGUUUCAAGACCAACAGAAAGGGGGGACAAAGGUUAUGUUCCAUCUGUUUUUAUACCCAUUUCAACAAUCCGAAGUGAUUCAACUGAGCCACGUUCUCCAUCAGAUCUUCUUCCCAUGUCUCCAAGCGUAUAUGCGGUGCUGAGGGAAAACCUGAGUCCCACAACAAUUGAAACUGCAGUAUGUUCCCUUUCUUUUCCAUUGCUGGUCAAGGGCACUCCUAAUGAAGCAAAUGUGGCACCUGUUAAUCAAAGGGGCUGAAGUUCUGCCUGAGAAGUGAGAAAACACUUUUGUUGGACCAAAUCCAUGAGCAUCACACUGGAUGAAGUCUCCAUAUUCUGCUGAAUGACAAGAUAAAUUCUUGACACUCAAAAGAAGGAAGCAAAUGAAAAAGCUUAAAGACUGAUCUUUGCCAACAAUCCUAUCUCAUUUCUUCAACUUUGUAUAUACCAGUUUCCAGGAAAUGGUUGAAGUCUGAAGCUCUCCUCUCACUCACCUGACACCACCAACUGGGAAUGUCCUGACUGAAAUGCUAAAAACCAAAGCUUCAGAUAAGCUUGCAAGAUAAGACACUUUAAGAAACCAGUGUUAAUAUAACAUUAACAAAAGAC